UGAAGACUCUACUUGACUAGCUGAGAGGAGGUGCAUGGCCGUCGUCAGUUCGUACUGUGAAGCAUCCUGUUAAGUCAGGCAACGAGCGAGACCCACGCCAACAGUUGCCAGCUCGUCCUCCGGGAUGGUGGGGACACUGUUGGGACCGCCUCUGCUAAAGAGGAGGAAGGAAUGGGGCAACGGUAGGUCAGCAUGCCCCGAAUUAUCUGGGCUACACGCGGGCUACAAUGGGUGGGACAAUGGGUAUCGACACCGAAAGGUGAAGGGCAAUCUCCUAAACCCAUCCGUAGUUCGGAUUGUGGGCUGCAACUCGCCCACAUGAAGCUGGAAUCUGUAGUAAUCGUGUCUCAAAAUGGCACGGUGAAUAUGUCCCUGCUCCUU
rnacentral:rRNA from 1 species